GAGUGUGAUGAGGCAAAAUGUGACUCUGAGCCAUCUGCUGCAGUGAACAUGAUCGGCUUCCUGCACAAAAGACCCAACAACUUGUCUGUCUUGCUGGUCAACGCACCUGUCCGACGUUCUCAUGAGCCGAC